CCUACGGGAGGCAGCAGUGGGGAAUAUUGCGCAAUGGGGGAAACCCUGACGCAGCAACGCCGCGUGAGUGAGGAAGGACUUCGGUCUGUAAAGCUCUGUUAAUGUGGAAAAAUGGUAGCUGGUCUAAUAGGCCGGCUAUUUGAUGGUACACAUAGAGGAAGCACCGGCUAACUUCGUGCCAGCAGCCGCGGUAAUACGAAGGGUGCAAGCGUUGUUCGGAUUUAUUGGGCGUAAAGCGCGCGUAGGCGGACCUGUAAGUCAGAUGUGAAAUCUCGGGGCUCAACCUCGAAACUGCGUCUGAAACUGCAGGUCUAGAAUCUUGGAGGGGGAAGGGGAAUUUCGCAUGUAGGGGUAAAAUCCGUAGAUAUGCGAAGGAACACCAGAGGCGAAGGCGCCUUCCUGGACAAGUAUUGACGCUGAGGCGCGAAAGCGUGGGGAUCAAACAGGAUUAGAUACCCUGGUAGUCCACGCUGUAAACGAUGAAUACUAGGUAUUGGAGGAUUUGACCCCUACAGUGCCGUAGCUAACGCGUUAAGAUUCCGCCUGGGAAGUACGGUCGCAAGACUAAAACUCAAAGGAUUGACGG
rnacentral:rRNA from 1 species